rnacentral:tRNA from 1 species
GAAUCCGUGGCUCAAUGGUAGAGCGUUCGACUCAAAUAAUAAAGGUCGUGGGUUCGAAUCCAAGUAGUUUCA